rnacentral:rRNA from 1 species
CAGCCGUAAACUAUGCUCGCUAGGUGUCAGGCAUGGCGCGACCGUGUCUGGUGCCGCAGGGAAGCCGUGAAGCGAGCCACCUGGGAAGUACGGCCGCAAGGCUGAAACUUAAAGGAAUUGGCGGGGGGAGCACCACAACGGGUGGAGCCUGCGGUUUAAUUGGACUCAACGCCGGGAAGCUCACCGGAUAAGACAGCGGAAUGAUUGCCGGGCUGAAGACUCUGCAUGACUAGCUGAGAGGAGGUGCAUGGC